CCCCCAAAAUAAAUAGAUGAACACUAAAAAAUUGAUCUUUUGGGAAGUGAACACGUGCUUCUGUGGGCCGAGCUCAUCCUCUGACUCCUCGGUUUGCGUCCUGCUGACUCACCAGUAAGUGGUUUCAGUUGUGCUCGGGGCUGGCCCUGUGCCAAUGACACAGCGGAUUCGACGCACCUGCUGACCCCCACGUGCAUCCGGCACGCCAGGCCCAGACCUGGGGUCGGCGGGUCAGAAUCCCAGGCGUGGUUCGACAACAGCCCCUUGUACGGGGCUGAGCCUCAGUUUCCUCGCCAGCGAAAUAAGAGAGCUGACUGGUGACGCGAGGUGCCCCGGGGACGGAGCCGUGGAGCCUCUGCUGUGAUCGUCCGCUGUCCCCAGUGGGGACGGGGUGCCUUCGCAGCUCCCCUACCGGACCGCGGUGCCCACACAGCCCUGGGCGUGACAGAGAACGCCCGGUUGGGGUGUGUUGCCUGGGACAAGAACCCACGCCGUCCACCCAGACAAGGGGAGUGUGGUUCCCAAACACAGAGCUGGGAACGACGGUGGAAGCCUGCAACCCCGGAACCGUGGAGGCUCGGAGCUUGAUGCUGGUAACACGGGGAGCAGCGGGCAGCCUGACGUGGAGGAGAGGGCACCCCGUUCCCAGCUUGCUAAAUAAAUAAAUAACAUAAAAUGUAAAACGUAGAACUAUGACACUUGUCGAAGAAAACAUAGCACAAAAUCUUCGUGACCUUUGGCUCAGCAAAGAUUUCUUAGGCACUACAUCAAAAGCACUGUCCAUAAUAGGAAAAAAAAAGAAAUAAAGAGGACUUCAUCACAGUUAGAAGCUUCACUUCGGGGACACUCGAGAGCACGCAAAGACGAGCCACAGACUGGAAGACAAUAUCUGAAAGUCAUAUAUUCGAGAGAGUCUUGUGUAUGGAGUAUUCAAGCAUAUAAGACUUCACGAUUUUAGUUUUAGGUAAUCUCUACACCCCAUGUGGGGCUCGAACUCACAACCCGGAGAUCAAGGGUCCUGUGCUCCACCCACUGAGCCAGCCAGGCGCCCCUCAAGUUGUACCCUUUAAAGACGCGCAGCUCGUUUUAUGUCAGUGAGACCACAGUAGAGCUGUUUUUCAAGCUUUGCCCCGCGACUUGCUUCAGGGAGCCUGGCGUCCGUGCCCCACUUUCCUGCCCGUGUCCUCACGGCCCUGGUCUCCUGCCUCAGCUCCCUCCCGAGAUGCCACCGCUGCCCCGAUUCAGGUGACAGAAAUCUAAAUAUAACCGCGGCUGCCCGGCUGGCUGGCUUCCUAUGCGGGAUGGCCCUCAGCGCUCAGCCGCAGCCUGGUGACGCAGAGAAAGGGGGUGCGGCGGCGGGAGGCAGCAUAUGGCCCAGGGAAAGCGGGGGGCCCAGCCCCAAGCGGGGGGCAAGGCUGAGAGCCGAGCAGGGGGACGAUGUCUCCAAGGGAUGCAUCCCGUCGGGUGUGCUCUCCCCCUGGGGGAUCUGCAGGGAACCUUCCGCUGACAUCCGACGACUAGCCCAGGACCGGCCCCAAACAAGCGCUCCGUUCUUUCUCCUAUGUGUUCAUUCCGGCAACAGAUAUUUACUGCAACCUUGACCCACAUCUUGCUUCCAAGGACGAGACCAAAACACUGCAUCCCAAAGUACAAAGCACUCCGAUAAGGUCCCUGGGGGAUGACCGGCCCUGGUCUGGGAGGGGAGGGGAAGGGAGGGGAGGGGUGGGGAAGGUUUGCUGG